UACGUAGGGUGCGAGCGUUGCCCGGAUUUACUGGGCGUAAAGGGCGCGUAGGCGGCUUGACAAGUCACUUGUGAAAUCUCCGGGCUUAACUCGGAACGGCCAAGUGAAACUGUCAUGCUAGAGUGCAGAAGGGGCAAUCGGAAUUCUUGGUGUAGCGGUGAAAUGCGUAGAUAUCAAGAGGAACACCUGAGGUGAAGACGGGUUGCUGGGCUGACACUGACGCUGAGGCGCGAAAGCCAGGGGAGCAAACGGG
rnacentral:rRNA from 1 species